rnacentral:rRNA from 1 species
UCGUAAUACCGGAUAUGACCACAUGCCGCAUGGUGUGUGGUGGAAAGAUUUAUCGGUGCAGGAUGGGCCCGCGGCCUAUCAGCUUGUUGGUGGGGUAAUGGCCUACCAAGGCGACGACGGGUAGCCGACCUGAGAGGGUGACCGGCCACACUGGGACUGAGACACGGCCCAGACUCCUACGGGAGGCAGCAGUGGGGAAUAUUGCACAAUGGGCGGAAGCCUGAUGCAGCGACGCCGCGUGAGGGAUGAAGGCCUUCGGGUUGUAAACCUCUUUCAGCAGGGACGAAGCGUGAGUGACGGUACCUGCAGAAGAAGCACCGGCUAACUACGUGC